UACAUAUACUGUGAGGUGUGAGCGGGACCUAACCCUAAUUCCCCACCUCCAUCUCCAUCAUCGCCCCGUCGCCGGGUAGAAGAACAUCGACACCCAAGACUCCUCCGCCCCGUCUCCUUCGAUCUUUGACGACACUCACCUGUCGCCCCGUUAAGAUGUGGAGAUGUCGGAGGGCCGCAGGAUCUGCUGCGGCGUGUGGUCGCGGGAGGCGGAUCUCGCAGGGCUCGAGAGGCGGGCAGGACAGCCGCCGCGGGGAUCUUCCGGAGCCAGCGCACCGGCAGCGUGUGCGCCACUGCCCGAGGGCUAUGUGUUGUGGGUGUUCACGAAGCAGGGAGUGCAGCCACAGGAGCUAGCCAAUAUCUCAAAUGAGGAUCAGCGGCGGCUCACACUCUGACAUCCUGCCCGUCUUGCCUGAUGUUGAUGGCACUAGGGAGCAGUACAAGGAGAGAAGGAAGAGUCGGUGCUACUCCUGCUGCACCACAUGGCCAGGUGGUGGUAGGUAGCCAGCCGCUGGGACGUGAUGCCAGAGUAAGCGGUGCACACGGUGAGCAAUCGGCAGGUUGUUGUGGCGUUGAUGGAGGGAAGAAGAUAUCUACAUUUGCCUACGAGAGGUCAGAUAAUGCAGCAGAAAGGGCCCUAUAGGUUGGGAGAGGUCCUGAUGAUGCAGCAGCAAGAAUGGACUUGCAGGUCCGGCUGUCUGGAAGUUGUUGCAUUGUUUAUCAUUCUUUCUUUGACUCAUAUUGUUCUUACAUGGGUUCAUUUUGUGGUAGAUUUAGCUGGCAGUGUUUGAUAGCUGGAAUAUUGUAAUAGACUUAAUAA